CGGGUGCUGCGGGCCUCGUCAGGCAACGUUAUCCCUGGGGCCAAUAUCUACCCUUAGGGAGCUGUCCCUGCCGGACUCCUGGGUCCGGUAUAUGGCGCCCACCUGCAACCGCAGGCCACGGUGGAUGCUUCGCCAACGACCCCGCGGCCCCGUU
rnacentral:other from 1 species